rnacentral:rRNA from 1 species
UACGAAGGGUGCAAGCGUUACUCGGAAUUACUGGGCGUAAAGCGUGCGUAGGUGGUGAGUUAAGUCUGAUGUGAAAUCCCCGGGCUCAGCCUGGGAAUGGCAUUGGAUACUGGCUCGCUAGAGUGCGGUAGAGGGUGGUGGAAUUCCCGGUGUAGCAGUGAAAUGCGUAGAGAUCGGGAGGAACAUCUGUGGCGAAGGCGGCCACCUGGACCAACACUGACACUGAGGCACGAAAGCGUGGGGAGCAUACAGG